AAUUGUAUGGCAAAUUCUACAUACUAUUCCCCCAGCACCUGACGCAGUCCAGAUUCCCAAGUAGGGGCCACGAUUUGCGACCCUUUCUUGCACUGAGUAAUGCUUACUCAUGUGAGUAAUCCUAAUGACAUCAACAGGACUAAUCAUGUGGAUAAAUGCUACUCAGAGUGAGUAAGGGUUGAAGAAUCAGAAAAGCAAGUUAUAUAAUGACAUUCUUCAGCAAGAUAUUUCCAAGGAUUGGGGAUUUGGAGAUGUCUCUUACCCUUGCUUGGCCAAGGUAGUCUUCAUCCAAUGCUGGAGGUAACAUCCUGCAAUAGUGGCCCCUGCGACAACUGAUUGAAGUGCUUUUGUGUGUGGACUCAAGAUCAGAGUGGAAUUAUCAAAGUUCUGAAGAAAGACUGCUCUCCUGGAAUUUCUGGCAUGACAGAAGGCAGGAAGCUUCAGAAAACAUUUUAAGACAACUUGUUACUGCAAAGUUUCCACUCCAGCUUGGCAGACCUCAGAAUAUUCAGAUAAACAUCCCAAUUGGACCUCUGACCCUUUUAAGCACAUCAGCAUCCGAGCCAGAGAAAGAACCCAACAGCCCUGAGUAUCUUUUGAAGAUAGUAGGUGAUCCAAGUUAGUUCUGUUCACUGAUUAAGAUCUGCCUGAGGUUUCAUGCAGGGGAAGCUUAGUCCAUAAGGACUGAGAUCCCAGUUCUGACUGAACAACCCUGAAAUAUAAACAUUGGACUCUAACCUAUGAACUAUUUCUGAAAGAACUCUUUGCAACUACAAAGCUCACCAUCUCUGCUAUGAAUCUGAAUCUCAAGACUGUACUCAUGUCCGUAUGUAUACUGAUCCUUUAACCAAUGCUCUCUAGCUCUUCUUUUUUAAUAAAUUUUAGUUUAGUUAAUAAGAAUUGGCUGUGAGUGGGUAUUUGGGUAGGAUCUGGAAUAUUCAUUAACCUGGGAGGUAAUGUGUCCGAUUCUUUGGG